GGCGUAGAGCCGGUGCAGCAGGAAAACACCUUCAAUAACAGAGGAGAAAACAGAGCCGGGUCACGGCAACAACAAAAGAAAAGUCCCACUGAAUCCUUAUCAUGCAUCAGGCCUGGUUGGAAUUACAUCAGCCUCUGUACAAAACAUCUGGCCUGGCUCAUCACCAGAUGCAUGAACUAGCAUUGGAAGGAAGCACUCUUGAACUACUUUGAUAAAGUGAACCAGGAAAAUUCCCAUUGUCAAAGCUGGUUUGAUGGCCUUCCAGAGGCUGCAGGGAAGAUCUGACAAGUGGAAAGAAAAUAAAGGUGGAGCCUUGUGACUAAUUCUGUCUGAUGGACUGUGGACCUGUGAAUCCUACAGGUCGGAAUCGAACAGGCAGCGCCCAACGCUCCAGCUGUCUCAUCUCUUGCCAAGGCAGUCAAGGAAACCUCCUGCCGAGACGGCAGAGCUGCACGCGUUACAGCAUGAAGGGCGGAUGCCAGGGAGGGUCACCCAGCCUGCGGCGGACCUCAGGAGUGAGAAAAGCCAUUAAGUCACUGAGACGUGGAGGUUGUUUUUUGGUUUUGCUUUUGUUUUGUACUGCAGUAUAGUACCUGCUUAAUACCAUUCAUAAAUGUCUGUUUUGCCUAGGACUUUUAGAGAAGACUAGAAAUCACAGACUCUGUAGAGAUGAAGAGGCUUUAUGGAUUAAUAGACUUACCCAGUGCAGAUCAAUCUCCCAGUGGAAAGAGAUCAACCUCUCCCACUGUGCUUUUUCCUCUCAGUGUAGCUGUCACAGAGACUGUUCCCAAGGCUCUAAGGUGUUAGAGCUGCUGCCUCCCUCAAGCCCUCUGGACACCACGAUGCCUUCAGGUAGUCCAGCCUCAGCACGUCCCUAUCUCUUUUCUUCCCAGUUUAGUGGAGGCAAGAUUGGGAUUUUCCAAGUGAAACUUCAUUAGUAAGAAAUGGAGAUAAAAUAAGUACAAAUGUAUAGAAACAGAUGGAUUUGCUGAGUAUAGAUUUCUAAUCAAAGUGUAUUUGAUCUUCCUUUUCCAGAACAUUGGGAAGAUAUGUUUUGGUCCUUGCAUCCUGAACGUGUUCAGUCCAAACAUACCUAAAACAGAAAGGGGAGUCUGAGGUACCUCAUGACUUGGCCAGAUACGGGCUUUGCUUAUCCACCCAAGAUUACAACAUAGGAGACACCAUCUUUUCUAUGGAACAAUCAUAUUCCCUCCUAACAACACAACUCUUCAAUAGCAAUAGUCUCAUUAACAAUUAAUUUGUGAUGCUAGAGCACUUUGUGUGUUCCAAGUAACAGCUAUAGCAUUGUGAACAAUAAUAGUUAUUGCUGUAUUUUAAGUCUAUUCAUGCACAGAAGAGAGUAAGGAAGUUCUUUAUAAUGUAAAUGAUUCCUGAGUUCUAGAAAUUCAGUUUACCCUUAUAAAUAUGACUCAAUUUCAAAUUAUUCUGUUAAAAUAUAUAAUUGUUGGGGCAAUAAA